ACCUAGCUGUAUUGAUUAGUCAAUUAUAUGAAUGGAAGAAAAUAAUAAACUAAAUUAAACAACUGCAUCUUUCAUUUCUGAACUGCUAGAU